rnacentral:rRNA from 1 species
AUUGAACGCUGGCGGCAGGCCUAACACAUGCAAGUCGAACGGUAACAGGAAGAAGCUUGCUUCUUUGCUGACGAGUGGCGGACGGGUGAGUAAUGUCUGGGAAACUGCCUGAUGGAGGGGGAUAACUACUGGAAACGGUAGCUAAUACCGCAUAACGUCGCAAGACCAAAAAGGGGGACCUUCGGGCCUCUUGCCAUCGGAUGUGCCCAGAUGGGAUUAGCUAGUAGGUGGGGUAACGGCUCACCUAGGCGACGAUCCCUAGCUGGUCUGAGAGGAUGACCAGCCACACUGGAACUGAGACACGGUCCAGACUCCUACGGGAGGCAGCAGUGGGGAAUAUUGCACAAUGGGCGCAAGCCUGAUGCAGCCAUGCCGCGUGUAUGAAGAAGGCCUGCGGGUUGUAAAGUACUUUCAGCGGGGAGGAAGGGAGUAAAGUUAAUACCUGUGCUCAUGGACGUUACCCGCAGAAGAAGCACCGGCUAACUCCGU